ensembl:Mt_tRNA
ACUUCCUUAGUAUAGUCCAGUACAACUGACUUCCAAUCAGUCAGCUCUGGUCGCAAUCCAGAAUGAAGUA